UUGAUACAGUGAUGAUUGCAUAGUUCAGCAGAUAAUCUGUGACGAAGAAAAAUGUCUUUCGCUCCUAACUGAUGUAUCAA
ensembl:snoRNA small nucleolar RNA snR60/Z15/Z230/Z193/J17